rnacentral:rRNA from 1 species
UUCCGGUUGAUCCUGCCGGAGGCUACCGCUAUUGGAGUUCGAUUAAGCCAUGCGAGUCGAGAGUCUUAGGGACUCGGCGCACCGCUCAGUAACACGUGGGUAACCUGCCCUAUGCUGGGGGAUAACCUCGGGAAACUGAGAAUAAUACCCCAUAGUUCACCACGCCUGGAACGGUGGGUGGAUGAAAGCUCCGGCGGCAUAGGAUGGGCCUGCGGCGUAUCAGGUUGUAGGGGGUGUAAUGUACCCUCUAGCCAUCUACGCGUACGGGUGUUGGGAGACAUCGCCCGGAGAUGGAUUCUGAGACACGAAUCCAGACCCUACGGGGUGCAGCAGGCGCGAAAACUUGGCAAUGCGAGCAAUCGUGACCAGGGAACUCCAAGUGCAUCGGGUAAGACCGAUGCUUUUCUUGACUCUUCAAAGGUCUUGGAAUAAGGGGUGGGUAAGGACGGUGCCAGCCGCCGCGGUAAUACCGGCGCCUCAAGUGGUAGUCGCUUUUAUUGGGCCUAAAACGUCCGUAGCCGGUUUGGUACAUUCGUGGGUAAAUCAAGGCGCUCAACGUCUUGAAUUCUGCGAGCACGGCCAGACUUGGGACCGGGUGAGGUGUGGGGUACUCUCAGGGUAGGGGUAAAAUCCUGUCAUCCUGAGAGGACCACCUGUUGCGAAGGCGCCACACUAGAACGGAUCCGACGGUCAGGGACGAAGCCUAGGGGCACGAACCGGAUUAGAUACCCGGGUAGUCCUAGGUGUAAACGCUGUGGACUUGAUGUUGGGAGUGCUCCGAGCACCCUCAGUGUCGAAGCGAAGGUGAUAAGUCCACUGCCUGGGGAGUACGGUCGCAAGGCUGAAACUUAAAGGAAUUGGCGGGGGAGCACCGCAACCUGAGGAUUGUGCGGUUUAAUUGGAGUCAACGCCGG